rnacentral:rRNA from 1 species
GAUGAACGCUAGCGGGAGGCCUAACACGUGCAAGCCGAGCGGUAUUGUUUCUUCGGAAAUGAGAGAGCGGCGUACGGGUGCGUAACACGUGUGCAACCUGCCUUUAUCUGGGGGAUAGCCUUUCGAAAGGAAGAUUAAUACUCCAUAAUAUAUUGAACGGCAUCGUUUAAUAUUGAAAGCUCCGGCGGAUAGAGAUGGGCACGCGCAAGAUUAGCUAGUUGGUGAGGUAACGGCUCACCAAGGCGAUGAUCUUAGGGGGCCUGAGAGGGUGAUCCCCCACACUGGUACUGAGACACGGACCAGACUCCUACGGGAGGCAGCAGUGAGGAAUAUCGGUCAAUGGGUGCAAGCCUGAACCAGCCAUCCCGCGUGAAGGACGACCGCCCUAUGGGUUGUAAACUUCUUUUGUAUAGGGAUAAACCUACCCUCGUGAGGGUAGCUGAAGGUACUAUACGAAUAAGCACCGGCUAACUCCGUGCCAGCCGCCGCCGUAA